UCUCACUUUUUUGCUUGUUCAGACACAUUAACAGGUCCUCUGGUUCUGAAACGUUCUAAAAUGACUCGUUUUCCCAGCUUUUAUGGAGGGGAAAAUCAAACUGUUAGAACGUACGUUUUCUCGUUUCUCUUUAUAAAAGUGACAAACAUACACAGACACACCCGACAGUACUUAAAGGUGCCCGCACAUGCAAAAUUCACUUUUUGGGUAUUCUAGUACGUUUAUUUGACUCCCUGGGUCACGUUAAGACAUUCCUGGUGUGUUAGAAGUAUGCCCCCUACUUAUUUCACAUUUUUGAGAGUUUAUCCAAAAACUGGCGGACUGGAUACGUCUGCAUUCGCUUGACCAAUCACAGAACCAGCUUCCCCGCCCCCAGAAAAACCUGGACCUCUAAAUGUACCUGAAACAUUUCGUUUCAGUCACUCCAGUAACAGACAAAAGAAGAAGUCACUCAAUGCGCAGUCUACCAUAGGAGGUGGCGUUAAUGCACCUUUCAGUUGGUUGCCACCCGCCAUUUAAAAGACAAAAAGAAGUCACUCAGGUUGAAGAAGCGCCCUAUUUCUCAAGACGUUAUUCACUUGCUGCUUCCCCAAACGUAAGUCCAUGCUUGAUUCUUAUUUGAUGUAUGUACUCCAGAAGUUUCUCUGUUUAUAAUGUAGCUUCCCUCCUGUGUAAAGAAUGCUAAUUGCUAGAACCGUUGAAUCUAAGCGCUACAGCGACAGAGAGAGACAGUGUUGAAAGGUGCUGACACGCAAUUUGGAUGAAUCCAAGCCUCUCCAGCAUUUGUCCAGUUCGAAUCCUGUGAUAUAUGAGCUUAUUCACUCAGCUCACAUUAUAGCUGCUAGCGCGAUGGUAGCGCAGCGUUAGCGGCUAGCGCUAGUAAGUUGUGAGAGUCAGCUGUGUUUCUAAUUACUACCGAGCCUGUCGUGUGUAUGUUGUAGCCCGAGUAGACCCGUGAAUUUGGGUUAUUGCAAGUUCUAUCUAAGUCUAACGUGUGUUGUUCCUUAUCAAGUCAGCUACUUUAGCUGUAAACGUGACGUGUUUUUAUACAGGCUGAAGCAUGCCAGCUACCGAAACGCGAUGAGGUUGCUUCUCAAACUGACGCCACUGCAGGCUGUGGACACACGACUACCUUGUAGAAGAGUUGUUGCUCACCUCAGGAGCAAAGAUUAUGUGGAAAAUGUGAUGGAGACCAUCUUCAAUAAAGUCCUGCUGGACUCAGGUUGUUCUAUGGAGGACCUUGUGAACAUCCCUGUCCCACCGGCCCUCUGAGCAGAAUUUGAGCAACCUGACAGAAAGGAGAGUGGUGUCAAGAAAAACAGCUGCAUCCUCCAUCUGUACAGCAGCUGCACUGCUUCCGAUGUCUUCCAACACGUGAAGACAAAAAAGAUCCUCACAUCUCCCCAACCAACUGCUCAUGACUGUACCUGUUCCACUCCAGAAACUAUGCUUUCAACAUAACUAUGAAUCCUACCCGUUCAAUUUCUGGUCUGCAAAUUGAACUGUGACAGUAACUUAUCCAGCAUUAUAGUGCUGGUGCAUCGGUUAAAAAUAAAGUUGGUUUUGACUAUUGCUGUUUCACUGAACUAUUUCUGUAUGUAUAUACCUAAUGAGGGAAAACAG